GAAAUGCGAUAAGUAAUGUGAAUUGCAGAAUUCAGUGAAUCAUCGAAUCUUUGAACGCACCUUGCGCUCCUUGGUAUUCCGAGGAGCAUGCCUGUUUGAGUGUCAUGAAACCCUCAAACCCAAGUUUUGCGUCGGCUUGCGGGCUUGGACUUGGAGCGUGCUGGCGAAAGUCGGCUCCUCUCUAAAUGCAUCAGCGGAUAACUUUAUACCCUUUGCUGUCAUCAGUGUGAUAAUCAUGUCUCGCUGUUAGCAGUCUCAGUGGUUUCCGCUUCUAAUGUUCUUUUUCAAGACAGAUACACUUUUAAAUUUGACCUCAAAUCAGGUAGGACUACCCGCUGAACUUAA
rnacentral:misc_RNA from 1 species